UACGAAGGGGGCUAGCGUUGCUCGGAAUCACUGGGCGUAAAGGGUGCGUAGGCGGGUCUUUAAGUCAGGGGUGAAAUCCUGGAGCUCAACUCCAGAACUGCCUUUGAUACUGAGAGCUUGAGUCCGGGAGAGGUGAGUGGAGCUGCGAGUGUAGAGGUGAAAUUCGUAGAUAUUCGCAAGAACACCAGUGGCGAAGGCGGCUCACUGGCCCGGUACUGACGCUGAGGCACGGAAGGUCAGGGGAGCAAACGGG
rnacentral:rRNA from 1 species